CGCAAACAAAGGGUUAAGUUUUUGCAAGACGGGGCUCGACCCGCCCCGUGCCAUUGACAUCCUCGUAAAUGGGAGACGUCGUUGAUAGGUAAAGCCAGCAAGGGGCCUAUAAAAAAGACGAGAAGAGAAGAGAAUUUGUAAGUUCUGAGUUCUGAAAUCUGAACUGUCAGUCCUUCAUCAAUGGCUGCCAAGCAAAACCAAGAAAACCUCCCUGUUGUCCUUGUCUAUCGUCGCCCGCAAUUCAACCUUCCACACAGAAACCGCCUAUCUCCUCACUUCCUCCUCCUCGACCCGGCUGAUUCACAAGAAUCCACUAGCUCUUUCCUGUCCACCUAUGCUCAAUCAGUUAGAGCCCUCCUCUGCGUGGGCUAUUCCCCCAUAACCUCUGAAACUCUCAGUCUCCUCCCUUCUUUGGAGCUCAUAGUAGCGUGUAGUGCUGGCGUUGACCACAUCGACCUGCAGGAGUGUCAUCGCCGUGGUAUUGCCAUAACCAACGCCAGUGUGGCAUUCGCGGAGGAUGUCGCUGACCUAGCGGUGGGGUUGUUGAUUGAUGUUUUACGCAAAAUAUCAGGAGCUGACAGAUUUGUUCGUGGUGGGUUGUGGCCUGUGAUGGGGGAUUAUCCCCUUGGUUCCAAGUUAGGAGGGAAACGAGUUGGGAUAGUUGGGUUUGGAAGUAUCGGUUCUAAAGUUGCAAAAAGGCUUGUGGCUUUUGAUUGCAGCAUUGCCUACAAUUCAAGGAGGAGGAAGCCAUCUGUUCCAUUCCCUUACUAUGCCAAUGUUCGCGGCCUUGCUGCAGAUAGUGACAUUCUCAUUCUUUGUUGCGCAUUAACAGAAGAAACACACCAUAUGAUUAAUGAAGGAGUGAUGACAAGCUUGGGAAAAGAAGGGGUGAUCAUUAAUGUUGGACGUGGGUCUCUGAUUGAUGAGAAGGAACUAGUGCAGUUUUUGGUGCAAGGAAAGAUUGGUGGGGCAGGUCUUGAUGUGUUUGAGAAUGAGCCUGAUGUGCCAAAGGAGCUGUUUUCUCUGGAUAAUGUUGUGUUAUCUCCACACCGUGCCGUCUUCACUCCAGAAUCCUUGGAGGCAUUGAUAGAUCUAACUUCUGCCAACCUGAAGGCGUUCUUUUCAAAUAAACCUCUAAAGUCGCUUGUUGAAAUUGAGUUAUAACUUUCCCCUCUCCCACUAAGUUAAUCAAAAUUGAACUGUUUCUAAAAUUUACUCCGGUAAUGAAGCAUUCAGAUUUUGAAAUCAAAAAAAAAAAAAAA
rnacentral:misc_RNA from 1 species